CCUCCCUCGUGCCUCUCUAGUCCGAUUUAGAGCUCGCUCGAGCCGUUACCACCAUGGUUGCUAUCGUUGUGUCGAUCCCACGACCACUAGCCUCCUCUCGUCGCGCCAAGACGUCCAGGAGCUCCGCCAUAUCAGUCGUCUUCGCCCAUAACCGUCGCGCCUCACCGUCGAUUCCCACCGCUCUUCUCUUGUAUAGACGUCGAAGGUGACGUUGGUGCCGGGAUUGUGAGGAGAUGCCCCUUGAUGCAAGAAAGGAAUAGGAUUGGCUCAAGCUUCAAGCAAGAAGACUCUUCAUUUUAUUAUUUGCGAGAAAUCACUUUUAGUCCAGAGGAAAGCCAAUACUAUUAAAAGGGGAUGAGGUAUUAUGAUGAAUUGGUUGCUCAAGUGCUUAGAGGUAGCCACCAAAAAUACUCAUCCAUUGUCCCACAAAAUAUCUCUGUCCAAAGCCAAACCAACAAAAUUGAUGCCAACAACAAUUUCCAUUCGGCCCCAGCGAUUUUACACUUGACACAUCCUAUGCCAAACCCUAACAUCUCAGUA